rnacentral:rRNA from 1 species
GGUCCCUAUCCGUCGUGGGCGUAGGAAAUUUGAGAGGAGCUGUCCUUAGUACGAGAGGACCGGGAUGGACGCACCGCUGGUGUACCAGUUGUUCUGCCAAGGGCAUAGCUGGGUAGCUAUGUGCGGAAGGGAUAAGUGCUGAAAGCAUCUAAGCAUGAAGCCCCCCUCAAGAUGAGAUUUCCCAUAGCGUAAGCUAGUAAGAUCCCUGAAAGAUGAUCAGGUUGAUAGGUUCGAGGUGGAAGCAUGGUGAUAUGUGGAGCUGACGAAUACUAAUAGAUCGAGGACUUAACCAUAUAA